rnacentral:rRNA from 1 species
UGGGGAAUCUUGGACAAUGGGGGCAACCCUGAUCCAGCCAUGCCGCGUGAGUGAUGAAGGCCUUAGGGUCGUAAAGCUCUUUCGCCUGUGAAGAUAAUGACGGUAGCAGGUAAAGAAACCCCGGCUAACUCCGUGCCAGCAGCCGCGGUAAUACGGAGGGGGUUAGCGUUGUUCGGAAUUACUGGGCGUAAAGCGCACGUAGGCGGACCAGAAAGUUGGGGGUGAAAUCCCGGGGGCUCAACCCCGGAACUGCCUCCAAAACUAUUGGUCUAGAGUUCGAGAGAGGUGAGUGGAAUUCCAAGUGUAGAGGUGAAAAUUCGUAGAUAUUCGGAGGAACACCAGUGGCGAAGGCGGCUCACUGGCUCGAUACUGACGCUGAGGUGCGAAAAGCGUGGGGGAGCAAAACAGGAUUAGAUACCCUGGUAGUCCACGCCGUAAAACGAUGAAAUGCCAGUCGUCGGGGUAAGCAUGCUAUUCGGUGACACACCUAACGGAUUAAGCAUUCCGCCUGGGGAGUACGGUCGCAAGAUUAAAA